rnacentral:rRNA from 1 species
GAUGAACGCUGGCGGCGUGCUUAACACAUGCAAGUCGAACGAAGCACUUUAUUUGAUUUCCUUCGGGACUGAUUAUUUUGUGACUGAGUGGCGGACGGGUGAGUAACGCGUGGGUAACCUGCCUUGUACAGGGGGAUAACAGUUGGAAACGGCUGCUAAUACCGCAUAAGCGCACGGCAUCGCAUGAUGCAGUGUGAAAAACUCCGGUGGUAUAAGAUGGACCCGCGUCUGAUUAGCUAGUUGGUGAGGUAACGGCUCACCAAGUCGACGAUCAGUAGCCGAACUGAGAGGUUGAUCGGCCACAUUGGGACUGAGACACGGCCCAGACUCCUACGGGAGGCAGCAGUGGGGAAUAUUGCGCAAUGGGGGCAACCCUGACGCAGCAACGCCGCGUGAAGGAUGACGGUCUUCGGAUUGUAAACUUCUUUAAGUGUGGAAGAAAUUGACGGUACACACAGAAUAAGCCACGGCUAACUACGUGCCAGCAGCCG